rnacentral:lncRNA from 1 species
CAAGCGCUACAUAAGGAUUACGCACUUGAAUCCCCCGACCUUGGGAUCAUCUCCUCAAGGCUUAAGGGAAAGAUCACCUACACCAUCUGCUAGGGCACCCUCUCCACUACCAGACAAGGAUCCUAGCAUGAGUCCACCAGCUGAUAGGAAUCCUAGAAUGAGUCCACCAGCUGACACGGAUCCUAGCAUGAGUUCACCUCCCUCCUAUUAUGAGCAAGGCUACACGGCGAAAGACACCUUCAGUUCCG